rnacentral:rRNA from 1 species
GGGCCCGCACAAGCGGUGGAGCAUGUGGUUUAAUUCGAUGAUACGCGAGGAACCUUACCAGGGCUUAAAUGUAAGUUGCAUUAGCUAGAGAUAGCUAUUUCUUCGGACUACUUACAAGGUGCUGCAUGGUUGUCGUCAGCUCGUGCCGUGAGGUGUCAGGUUAAGUCCUAUAACGAGCGCAACCCCUGUUGUUAGUUGCCAGCGAGUAAUGUCGGGAACUCUAACAAGACUGCCGGUGCAAACCGUGAGGAAGGUGGGGAUGACGUCAAAUCAUCACGGCCCUUACGUCCUGGGCUACACACGUGCUACAAUGGUCGGUACAGAGAGCAGCCACUACGCGAGUAGGAGCGAAUCUAUAAAACCGAUCACAGUUCGGAUCGGAGUCUGCAACUCGACUCCGUG